AAACUUAUUUGGCGCUGAGACUGGCUGAUCACGAAUGCCCGGGCCACAGGUGGGGGCUCGCCAUUGCACUCCAGAGUGUUGAAGCCUGCGACGAUCCCUAAUUGGGCUCGCUCGGACACUUCGUUUUUGUGAAAACAGCUUUGGUGAAAACAGCUUUC
rnacentral:snRNA from 13 species